rnacentral:rRNA from 1 species
CCUACGGGAGGCAGCAGUAGGGAAUUUUGCGCAAUGGGCGAAAGCCUGACGCAGCAACGCCGCGUGAUCGAGACGCCCUUCGGGGUGUAAAGAUCUGUCAGUGGGGACGAAACUUGACGGUACCCACAGAGGAAGCACCGGCUAACUCCGUGCCAGCAGCCGCGGUAAUACGGGGGGUGCAAGCGUUGUCCGGAAUCAUUGGGCGUAAAGAGUUCGUAGGCGGCACGUAAAGUCUGGAGUUAAAGGCAGAGGCUCAAUUUCUGUACGGCACUGGAUACUUGCGAGCUAGAAUGCGGUAGAGAGAAAGGAAAUUCGUGGUGUAGCGGUGAAAUGUUGAGAUAACGGGGGGA